AGAGCGAACGCUGGCGGCAGGCCUAACACAUGCAAGUCGAGCGGCCGUAGCAAUACGGCAGCGGCAGACGGGAUAGUAACACGUGGGAACGCGCCCUUCGGUUCGGAAUAACUCAGGGAAACUUGAGCUAAUACCGGAUACGCCCUUACGGGGAAAGAUUUAUUGCCGAAGGAACGGCCCGCGUCCGAUUAGCUAGUUGGUGAGGUAAUGGCUCACCAAGGCUCCGAUCGGUAGCUGGU
rnacentral:rRNA from 1 species